CAAUAGCGUAUAUUAAUGCUGCUGCGGUUGAAACGCUCGUAGUUGGACUUUGGGGCGUGCGGCAGGGUCGGCCUUUGGGCUGUAUCCUGCAGCGUGUCCUUUUGCCGUGAUCCGCCUCCCUUUGCUUCGGCGGAGGAACCGGGGCGAUUUCGGCCGGUUACUUUGAAGAAAUUAGAGUGUUCAAAGCAGGCUAACGCCUUGAAUACAUUAGCAUGGAAUAACAGAAUAGGACUUUGGUCUUGUUGUGUUGGUUUCCGGGACUAGAGUAAUGAUUAAUAGGGACAGUUGGGGGCAUUCAUAUUAGAACGUCAGAGGUGAAAUUCUUGGAUUGUUUUAAGAUGAACUACUGCGAAAGCAUUUGCCAAGGAUGUUUUCAUUAAUCAAGAACGAAAGUUAGGGGAUCGAAGACGAUUAGAUACCGU
rnacentral:rRNA from 1 species